GCGGCUGCAGCUCAGUGGAUAGAGUAUUGGCCUCCGAAGCCAAGGGUCGUGGGUUCGAUCCCCGCCAGCCGCACCA
rnacentral:tRNA from 1 species